CACAAACUCCCAAGGAUGAUAUCUAUUGACAGUCUUCUGCGGGACAUGUUGGAAACAGUUCGUGCUUUUCUAGCACUUUCAUGCAGUUACUUCAGCAAUGAAGCAGCAACUACCUCCACAACGGAUUCAGAUGGAUGGUUUCAUUUUUGUGAUUGAUAGGCUGAAGGAGCUGAUCAAGUAUGAGUUAUCAAGUGUCUCCAUGCAAGAGGAUAGGGAAGUUGGCAUUUGGGAAGGAUCUAAUAAAGCUUGCAACGUCCAGACCUUAAAUUUAGGAUUUGGCCUUCUAAUUAUAGUAAAUAUACAUAAAUGGGUUUUACCCCCGAACCCUGCGUGACUGCGAAAUGCCUUGUGCACCGAGCUGCCCUUUUUUAUUCAUAAAUGGGUUUUAGAGCUCUAUGUUCUCCCUUCAUUAUCUUCGAGUAUUAUUACUAUGAUUUCUCGAAUGGUACAGAGUCAUCAUCUUGCCAAAUAGACAUACAGAACUAAGAAAACAAACACUGCUCUGUAGACAACAUAUAAAUGGAACAGCAGUAUCUUAACA